GGGAUUGUAGUUCAGGGGUAGAACGUUUCUUUCGCACUCCCAGAAGACGGUCUCUGAUCAGCUUCGAGUCGAAACGACACUAGAAAAGGUCCCCGGUUCAAUUCCGGGCAAUUCCA